GAUGAACGCUGGCGGCGUGCCUAAUACAUGCAAGUCGAGCGAAUGGAUUAAGAGCUUGCUCUUAUGAAGUUAGCGGCGGACGGGUGAGUAACACGUGGGUAACCUGCCCAUAAGACUGGGAUAACUCCGGGAAACCGGGGCUAAUACCGGAUAACAUUUUGAACCGCAUGGUUCGAAAUUGAAAGGCGGCUUCGGCUGUCACUUAUGGAUGGACCCGCGUCGCAUUAGCUAGUUGGUGAAGUAACGGCUCACCAAGGCAACGAUGCGUAGCCGACCUGAGAGGGUGAUCGGCCACUCUGGGACUGAGACACGGCCCAGAAUCCUACGGGAGGCAGCAGUAGGGAAUCUUCCGCAAUGGACGAAAGUCUGACGGAGCAACGCCGCGUGAGUGAUGAAGGCUUUCGGGUCGUAAAACUCUGUUGUUAGGGAAGAACAAGUGCUAGUUGAAUAAGCUGGCACCUUGACGGUACCUAACCAGAAAGCCACGGCUAACUACGUGCCAGCCGCCGCAGUAA
rnacentral:rRNA from 1 species